GCGGAGGGAUCAUUACAGAGUCUAGCGACUCCCAAACCACUGUUAAUCUACCGUACCGUUGCCUCGGCGGGCUGCCUCUGGGAGGGGCCGCAGCUACGCCCGCCGCAGGUCUUAAAACUAUACCUAUUUUUGUGGCACUUCUGAGCAAACUUCCAAACAAUCAAAACUUUCAACAACGGAUCUCUUGGUUCUGGCAUCGAUGAAGAACGCAGCGAAAUGCGAUAAGUAAUGUGAAUUGCAGAAUUCAGUGAAUCAUCGAAUCUUUGAACGCACAUUGCGCCCGCCAUCUUGGCGGGCAUGCCUGUCUGAGCGUCAUUUCAACCCCCAAGCACCGCUUGGUGUUGGGGCACUACGGGCAACCGUAGGCCCUGAAAACUAGUGGCGGACUCGCUGAAGGUCCGGGCGUAGUAGUAAUAUCUCGCCCGCGGUCCCCAGCGCGCUCCGGCCGUUAAACUCCCCAAUCUUACAGAAGGUUGACCUCAGAUCAGGUAGGAUUACCCGCUGAACUUAAGCAUAUCAGUAAGCGGAGGAAAAGAAACCAACAGGGAUUGCCCUAGUAACGGCGAGUGAAGCGGCAACAGCUCGAAUUUGAAAUCUGGCUUCGGCCCGAGUUGUAAUCUGUAGAGGAUGCUUUGGGUGUAGGUGCCUUCCGAGUGCCCUGGAACGGGACGCCACAGAGGGUGAGAGCCCCGUAUGGUCGGUACCAAGCCUGUGUAAAGCUCCUUCGACGAGUCGGGUAGCUUGGGAAUGCUGCUCUAAGCGGGAGGUAAACUUCUUCUAAAGCUAAAUACUGGCCAGAGACCGAUAGCGCACAAGUAGAGUGAUCGAAAGAUGAAAAGCACUUUGAAAAGAGGGUCAAAUAGUACGUGAAAUUGUUGAAAGGGAAGCGCUCAUGACCAGACUUGCGCCGGGUUGAUCAUCCAGUGGUUUCCACUGGUGCACUCUGCCCGGCUCAGGCCAGCGUCGGCUGUUGCGGGGGGACAAAAGCUCUGGGAAAGUAGCUCUCUUCGGGGAGUGUUAUAGCCCUCUGCAGAAUACCCCCGCGGCGGCCGAGGUCCGCGCUCUGCAA
rnacentral:misc_RNA from 1 species